rnacentral:rRNA from 1 species
UGGGAUAACCUCGGGAAACUGGUGAUAAUUCCGAAUAAAUCAGAUAUGCUGGAAUGCUUUCUGGUUCAAAGCUUCGGUGCCUUAGGAUGGAUCUGCGGCCUAUCAGGUUGUAGUGGGUGUAAUGUACCUACUAGCCUACGACGGGUACGGGUUGUGAGAGCAAGAGCCCGGAGAUGGAUUCUGAGACAUGAAUCCAGGCCCUACGGGGCGCAGCAGGCGCGAAAACUUUACAAUGCGGGAAACCGCGAUAAGGGGAUACCGAGUGCCAGCAUUUAUGUUGGCUGUCCACAUGUCUAAAUCGCAUGUGUUAGCAAGGGCCGGGCAAGACCGGUGCCAGCCGCCGCGGUAACACCGGCGGCCCGAGUGGUGGCCACUAUUAUUGGGUCUAAAGGGUCCGUAGCCGGUUUGAUCAGUCUUCCGGGAAAUCUGACAGCUCAACUGUUAGGCUUCUGGGGGAUACUGUCAGACUUGGGACCGGGAGAGGUAAGAGGUACUACAGGGGUAGGAGUGAAAUCUUGUAAUCCCUGUGGGACCACCAGUGGCGAAGGCGUCUUACCAGAACGGGUCCGACGGUGAGGGACGAAAGCUGGGGGCACGAACCGGAUUAGAUACCCGGGUAGUCCCAGCCGUAAACGAUGCUCGCUAGGUGUCUGGGACGGUGCGACCGUUUCAGGUGCCGCAGGGAAGCCGUGAAGCGAGCCACCUGGGAAGUACGGCCGCAAGGCUGAAACUUAAAGGAAUUGGCGGGGGAGCACUACAACGGGUGGAGCCUGCGGUUUAAUUGGACUCAACGCCGGAAAACUCACCUGGGGCGACAGCAAUAUGUAGGUCAGGCUAAAGGUCUUACCUGAAUCGCUGAGAGGAGGUGCAUGGCCGUCGUCAGUUCGUACUGUGAAGCAUCCUGUUAAGUCAGGCAACGAGCGAGACCCGUGCCCACUGUUGCCAGCAUGUCCUUUCGGGAUGAUGGGUACUCUGUGGGGACCGCUGGUGCUAAACCAGAGGAAGGUGCGGGCUACGGUAGGUCAGUAUGCCCCCGA